UACGUAGGGGGCAAGCGUUGUCCGGAAUCAUUGGGCGUAAAGAGCGUGUAGGCGGUCCGGUCAGUCGGUUGUGAAAGUCAAGGGCUCAACCCUUGAAUGCCGGCCGAUACUGCCGGGCUAGAGUCCGGAAGAGGUGAGUGGAAUUCCUGGUGUAGCGGUGAAAUGCGCAGAUAUCAGGAGGAACACCCGUGGCGAAAGCGGCUCUCUGGGACGGUACUGACGCUGAGACGCGAAAGCGUGGGGAGCGAACAGG
rnacentral:rRNA from 1 species